CAGCAGCAGCAGAAGCAGCAGAAGCAGUGGCUAUGGCAGUGGCUUUGCCUGCUGAUGCUGCGGUUGCUGUUUCUGUUUCUGCUGUUGCUGCUGCUGCUG
rnacentral:sRNA from 1 species